rnacentral:miRNA from 1 species
AUCUAACGACUCUCAGAUAUCA